rnacentral:rRNA from 1 species
GACGAACGCUGGCGGCGUGCCUAAUACAUGCAAGUCGAACGCAGUGGGGACGGGUGAGUAACACGUGGGUAACCUCCCAUCAGAGGGGAUAACACUUGGAAACAGGUGCUAAAACGAUAUUGAAGGAUGGACCCGCUGUGCAUUAGCUAGUUGGUGAGGUAACGGCGCACCAAGGCCACGAUGCAUAGUCGACCUGAGAGUGUGAUUGGCCACACUGGGACUGAGACACGGCCCAGACGCCUACGGGAGGCAGCAGUAGGGAAUCUUCUGCAAUGGACUAAAGUCUGACCGAGCAACGCCGCGGGAGUGAAGAAGGUUUUCGGAUCGUAAGACUCUGUUGUUAGAGAAGCGGUAUCUAACCAGAAAGCCACGGCUAACUACGUGCCAGCAGCCGCGGUAAUUC